rnacentral:rRNA from 1 species
UGUGUGUUAGUGGAAGCGUCUGGAAAGGCGCGCGAUACAGGGUGACAGCCCCGUACACAAAAAUGCACAUGCUGUGAGCUCGAUGAGUAGGGCGGGACACGUGGUAUCCUGUCUGAAUAUGGGGGGACCAUCCUCCAAGGCUAAAUACUCCUGACUGACCGAUAGUGAACCAGUACCGUGAGGGAAAGGCGAAAAGAACCCCGGCGAGGGGAGUGAAAAAGAACCUGAAACCGUGUACGUACAAGCAGUGGGAGCACGCUUAGGCGUGUGACUGCGUACCUUUUGUAUAAUGGGUCAGCGACUUAUAUUCUGUAGCAAGGUUAACCGAAUAGGGGAGCCGAAGGGAAACCGAGUCUUAACUGGGCGUUAAGUUGCAGGGUAUAGACCCGAAACCCGGUGAUCUAGCCAUGGGCAGGUUGAAGGUUGGGUAACACUAACUGGAGGACCGAACCGACUAAUGUUGAAAAAUUAGCGGAUGACUUGUGGCUGGGGGUGAAAGGCCAAUCAAACCGGGAGAUAGCUGGUUCUCCCCGAAAGCUAUUUAGGUAGCGCCUCGUGAAUUCAUCUCCGGGGGUAGAGC